CGAGUAAGACAGGCGGUCGCGUGGGCAGGCCGAAAGGCCGUCCAUGAGGAAAGUCCGGGCUCCAUAGGGCAAGGAUAACGGGUAACGCCCGCCGAAGGCAACUUCAGGAAAAGUGCAACAGAGAUAUACCGCCGUUGCGGCUUUGCCGUAACGGUAAGGGUGGAAAGGUGCGGUAAGAGCGCACCCGACGGCUGGAAACUGUCCGUCGCUGUAAACUCUAUCCGGAGCAACACCGUGGGAGGACACAUGAGGCUGGCCCAGCCGUCCUCAGGAGGUGGCUUGAGCGUGCCGGCAACGGUACGCCUAGAUAGAUGACUGCCAAAUACAGAACCCGGCUUACAGUUUUGCUCGCAAA
rnacentral:RNase_P_RNA from 1 species